GAUGAACGCUGGCGGCGUGCCUAAUACAUGCAAGUCGAGCGAACGGACGAGAAACUUGCUUCUCUGAUGUUAGCGGCUGAUGGGUGAGUAACACGUGGUUCACCUACCUAUAACACUGAGAAUUUUUCGUUAAACGGGUGCCUAUAGCAGUUUAUCUUUUUCAUCGUAUUGUUUAAGUGAUAGAGACUGUCUUUCUCACUUUUAUAGAUGUCUGCUCGCUGUAUUAGCUAUUUGGUAAGGUAACGUCUUACCAAGGAAAUGAUGCAUAGCCGACCUGAGAGGGUGAUCGGCCACACUGGAACUGAGACACGGUCCAGACUCCUACGGGAGGCAGCAGUAGGGAAUCUUCCGCAAUGGGCGAAAGCCUGACGGAGCAACGCCGCGUGAGUGAUGAAGGUCUUCGGAUCGUAAAACUCUGUUAUUAGGGAAGAACAUAUGUGUAAGUAACUGUGCACAUCUUGACGGUACCUAAUCAGAAAGCCACGGCUAACUACGU
rnacentral:rRNA from 1 species